ACCCUCUCAGGAUUGCACCUUGAGAGUUUCCAGAAAUCUACCAGUUUUGACUACAGGAGGGAGAGUCAAGCAGAGGCAUACCCAUUCCAUUCCUAGCUUGGACAAUGGCUAGUGAGUGGAAGGCAAUCUGCUAUGUGU